AUACGGAAGGUCCGGGCGUUAUCCGGAUUUAUUGGGUUUAAAGGGAGCGCAGGCGGAGAUGCAAGCGUGACGUCAAAUUUCGGGGCUCAACCACGUCUCGCGUCGCGAACUGCGUCCCUUGGUUGCGGGAAGGGGAGGCGGAACUCGUGGUGUAGCGGUGAAAUGCAUAGAUAUCACGAAGAACUCCGAUCGCGAAGGCAGCCUUCCGGCCCGUCAACGACGCUCAUGCUCGAAGGUGCGGGUAUCAAACAGGAUUAGAUACCCUGGUAGUCCGUACAGUAAACGAUGGACACCCGCGGUUUGGCCUGUAUGGCUGAGCCGCCAAGCGAAAGCGUUAAGUGUCCCACCUGGGGAGUACGCCGGCAACGGUGAAACUUAAAGGAAUUGACGGGG
rnacentral:rRNA from 1 species